rnacentral:rRNA from 1 species
AAUGAACGUUGGCGGCAUGGAUUAGGCAUGCAAGUCGAGCGAGAAGGGUUUUGAAGCUUGCUUUAGAACCCGGAAAGCGGCGAAAGGGAGAGUAACGAGUAGUUAUCUACCCCAAGGCCCGGAAUAGCUGCGGGAAACUGCAGGUAAUGCCGGAUAAUAUCCCCGGAUCAAAGGUGUGAUUCCGCCUUGGGAGGAGACUGCUUUGUACUAGCUAGUUGGUGGGGUAAUGGCCUACCAAGGCGAUGAUGCAUAGCGGGCGUGAGAGCGUGGCCCGUCUCACUGGGACUGAAACACUGCCCAGACACCUACGGGUGGCUGCAGUCGAGAAUCUUCGGCAAUGGGCGAAAGCCUGACCGAGCGAUGCCGCGUGCGGGAUGAAGGCCCUCGGGUUGUAAACCGCUGUCGUAGAGGAGAAAGGUCUCGUGAAGAGCGAGAUUUGAUCUAUUCUAGGAGGAAGUCGGGGCUAAGUUCGUGCCAGCAGCCGCAGUAAUAC